rnacentral:lncRNA from 1 species
GCAGAUCUCUACUUGACACUCCUUGGCUGCACUCUGCAGCCCUAAUACCUCAGCAUGUGACUACAAUUGGAAAGACAGCUCUGAAGAGGUGACUAUGUUGAAAUGAGGCCAUCAGGACAGACCCUAAUUUAAUCUAAUGGAUGUCCCUAUAAGAAGGGAAAAUUUGGACACAUAAAGAGACACCAGGGUUCUGCACACAACAAAGAAAAUUUGUGUGAGCACACAGCAAGAAGGCAGCUAUGUGCAAGUCGAGGAGAAAGGCCGCAGGAGGAACUAAAAUUGCCUACUCUUUGAUCCUGGACCUCUAGCCUCCACAAC